UGGCGGACGGGUGAGUAAUGUCUGGGAAACUGCCUGAUGGAGGGGGAUAACUACUGGAAACGGUAGCUAAUACCGCAUAACGUCGCAAGACCAAAGAGGGGGACCUUCGGGCCUCUUGCCAUCGGAUGUGCCCAGAUGGGAUUAGCUAGUAGGUGGGGUAAAGGCCCACCUAGGCGACGAUCCCUAGCUGGUCUGAGAGGAUGACCAGCCACACUGGAACUGAGACACGGUCCAG
rnacentral:rRNA from 1 species